GGAGGGCAGAUCCAAGGGCAGAUCCACAGGGCAGAGUGGAGGGCAGAUCCAUAGGGCAGAGUGGAGGGUAGAAUGGAGGGCAGAGUGGAGGGCUGAUCCAUAGGGCAGAUCCACAGGGCAGAGUGGAGGGCAGAUCCAUAGGGCAGAGUGGAGGGCAGAGUGGAGUGCAGAGUGGAGGCAGAUCCAUAGGGCAGAGUGGAGGGCAGAUCCAUAGGGCAGAGUGGAGGGCAGAUCCAUGGAGGGCAGAUCCAGAGUGGAGGGCAGAUCCAUAGGGUAGAGUGGAGGGCAGAGUGGAGAGCAGAUCCAUAGGGUAGAGUGGAGGGCAGAUCCAUAGGGUAGAGUGGAGGGCAGAGUGGAGGGCAGAGUGGAGGGCAGAUCCAUAGGGCAGAGUGGAGGGCAGAUCCAUAGGGCAGAGUGGAGGGCAGAUGGAGGGCAGAGUGGAGGGCAGAUCCAUAGGGCAGAGUGGAGGGCAGAGUGGAGGGCAGAUCCAAAGGGUAGAGUGGAGGGCUGAUCCAUAGGGCAGAUCCAUAGGGCAGAGUGGAGGGCAGAUCCAUAGGGCAGAGUGGAGGGCAGAUGGAUAGGGCAGAGUGGAGG
ensembl:lncRNA